AUACGUAGGAAGCAAGCGUUAUCCGGAAUUAUUGGGCGUAAAGAGGGAGCAGGCGGCAGCAAGGGUCUGUGGUGAAAGCCUGAAGCUUAACUUCAGUAAGCCAUAGAAACCAGGCAGCUAGAGUGCAGGAGAGGAUCGUGGAAUUCCAUGUGUAGCGGUGAAAUGCGUAGAUAUAUGGAGGAACACCAGUGGCGAAGGCGACGAUCUGGCCUGCAACUGACGCUCAGUCCCGAAAGCGUGGGGAGCAAAUAGGAUUAGAUACCCUAGUAGUCCACGCCGUAAACGAUGAGUACUAAGUGUUGGAUGUCAAAGUUCAGUGCUGCAGUUAACGCAAUAAGUACUCCGCCUGAGUAGUACGUUCGCAAGAAUGAAACUCAAAGGAAUUGACGGGG
rnacentral:rRNA from 1 species